UAUUGUUUUGGCAGUACAUAUGCAAAAAUUGAAACGAUGCAGAGAAUAUUAGCAUGGCUGCUGCGCAAGGAUGACACAUCGACAACAAAUUCAAUAGCCACGGCU